AUUGAACGCUGGCGGCAGGCCUAACACAUGCAAGUCGAACGAGUGGCGGACGGGUGAGUAAUGUCUGGGAAACUGCCUGAUGGAGGGGGAUAACUAUUGGAAACGGUAGUUAAUACCGCAUACCAUCGGAUGUGCCCAGAUGGGUUUAGCUAGUAGGUGGGGUAACGGCUCACCUAGGCGACGAUCCCUAGCUGGUCUGAGAGGAUGACCAGCCACACGGGAACUUGGUCACGGCCCAGACUCCGACGGGAGUCAGGCGUGGGGAAUAUUGCACAAUGGGCGAAAGCCUGAUGCAGCCAUGCAGCGUGUAUGAAGAGGGCCUUCGGGUUGUAAAGUACUUUCAGCGGGGAGGCGUUACCCGCAGAAGAAGCACCGGCUAACUCCGUGCCAGCCGCCGCGGUAAUUC
rnacentral:rRNA from 1 species